rnacentral:rRNA from 1 species
UACGGAAGGGGCGAGCGUUGUUCGGAAUCACUGGGCGUAAAGCGCGCGUAGGCGGCUUUGCAAGUGCGGCGUGAAAGUCCUGGGCUCAACCUGGGGACGGCGCUGCGGACUGCAUGGCUGGAGUCCGGAAGAGGGUGGUGGAAUUCCGAGUGUAGAGGUGAAAUUCGUAGAUAUUCGCAAGAACACCAGUGGCGAAGGCGGCUCACUGGCCCGUAACUGACGCUGAGGCACGAAAGCGUGGGGAGCAAACAGG